rnacentral:lncRNA from 1 species
GAUCACCUUGUCUUAGGCCCCUUGUCGGUUUGAUAUCACCAUACGGAGUCCCGUUGAUUAGAACUUGAUAUUGAGCUGAUGACACACAAGCCAUAAUUAGCGUUCUCCAAUGGUCUGAGAAGCCCAAGGUCUUCAACGCCAUCUCCAAAAAAGGCCACUCUACCCGAUCGUACGCUUUGGAGAUAUCUGUCUUCACUGCUAUAAACUCCUCAGAACACUUAUUCUUCGAGUUCAGCGCAUGGAGAAGUUCAUGUGCCACCAGAAUGUUGUCCUGUAUAA